rnacentral:rRNA from 1 species
GUAAGGAAUAUUGGUCAAUGGGCGGGAGCCUGAACCAGCCAAGUCGCGUGAAGGAAGAAGGAUCUAUGGUUCGUAAACUUCUUUUGCAGGGGAAUAAAGUGCAGGACGUGUCCUGUUUUGUAUGUACCCUGAGAAUAAGGAUCGGCUAACUCCGUGCCAGCAGCCGCGGUAAUACGGAGGAUCCGAGCGUUAUCCGGAUUUAUUGGGUUUAAAGGGUGCGUAGGUGGUUUGAUAAGUCAGCGGUGAAAGUUUGCAGCUUAACUGUAAAAAUGCCGUUGAAACUGUCGGACUUGAGUGUAAAUGAGGUAGGCGGAAUGCGUGGUGUAGCGGUGAAAUGCAUAGAUAUCACGCAGAACUCCGAUUGCGAAGGCAGCUUACUAAGCUACAACUGACACUGAAGCACGAAAGCGUGGGGAUCAAACAGGAUUAGAAACCCGGGUAUCC